AGUAUUUUUGCCACUCAAUCUUGGAGAUAAGGAAUAUUUGUGGUGAUGAGGUGGCAUGCCAAGGCUGAUGGGAUCUGGAAGGAUGAGGUUAUCCCAAUUAUGAGCUUCUGUGGUGGACUGUUUAUCUCAAUUGAUCCUUCAUAAUACCUGGGAGAAGUUGGAGAGCAGAAGGUGACAUGCAUACUGUGUUCAGGAAUCUGACAGGAUGUCUUCAAUGGCUGGGCUCUAUAGAUGGACCUCACUUUCCUUCAGUUUCCUCAUCUGAAAAAUGAGGAGGUUGGAUCAGAUGGCCUCUGAGGUCCCUUCCAAGUCUAAUUCUAUGCUCUUAUGCCUGAGGCUGUCUAGAUAGAGAGAACUGAGGUUAUUGUGGAAUCCUCUCAUCCAGGGCUGAUUAGAUUUGUUCCAUUGGAGUCUCCAAAUUGAGUGGAUUACAUAGCAGGGUGGGGGUGCCCAGAUGUCUUCACUUUAACUGCUAUCUCACAUUACCUCCCUCACUGGAUCUGUCUGUGGCAAAUGCAUUUGUUUUAUGAUUUUCCUAAAUAUGAAUAAUACUGUUCACAACAUUAAAACAAAUUUGGUCAGAUAAAUAUGAAGUUACAAUUUUGAAAGGUUCUUGGCUCAGUUAAAUAGCAAAGGAUCCAAGGAUUCCCAAAGGAUUUUUAAAAGU
rnacentral:lncRNA from 1 species